GAGGCGCCGCGCGCAGGCGCGGAGAGAACUAAGUGGUUGACGCUUUCUGGGAGGGCUGCUGUACGACCGUUCUGGAGGCUGGAAGGCCGAAAUAAAGGUGUCAGCAGGAUCCUCUGAGACUAGAUUCUUUUCCACUGUAGGUUAUUACAAGAUAUUGAAUAUAGUUCUCUGUGCUAUACAGUAGGUCCUUGUUGUUUAUCUAUUUUAUAUAUAGUAGCAGUGUGUAUGUUAAUCCCAACCUCCUAAUAUAUCCUUCCCCCCAUUUCCCCUUUGGUAAUCUAAAUUUGUUUUCUAUGUCUGUGUCUAUUUCUCUUUUGUGAAUAAGUUCAUUUGUAUCAGUUUUUUAGAUUCCACAUAUAAGUGAUAUCAUAUGAUAUUUGUCUUUCUCUGCCUGACUGACUUCACUUAGUAUGAUAAUCUCUAAGUCUAUCCAUGUUGCUGCCACACAUGGCGUUAUUUCAUUCUUUUUUAUGGCUGAGUAAUAGUCCAUAGAUAUGUGUGUGUGUGUGUGUGUGUGUGUGUGUGUGUGUGUGUGUGUAUGUAUAUAUAUGCCACAUCUUCUUUAUCCAUUCAUCUGUCAACGGGCAUUUAGGUUGCUUCCAUGUCUUGGGUAUUAUAAAUAGUGCUGCUGUGAACAUUGGGGUGCAUGUAUCUUUUAGAAUUGGAGUUUUUUACUUUUCUGGAUAUAUGCCCAGGAGUGCUGGAUCAUAUGGUAACUCUAUUUUUAGUUUAUUUAUUUAUUUUUUUGUGGUAUGUGGACCUCUCACUGCUGUGGCCUCUCCCGUUGCAGAGCACAGGCUCCGGAUGCGCAGGCUCAGCGGCCAUGGCUCACGGGCCCAGCCGCUCUGCGGCACGUGGGAUCCUCCCGGACCGGGGCACGAACCCGUGUCCCCUGC